UACAGAGGGUGCAAGCGUUAAUCGGAAUUACUGGGCGUAAAGCGUGCGCAGACGGUCUCGUAAGUCGGGUGUGAAAUCCCCGGGCUCAACCUGGGAAUUGCAUUCGAAACUGCGAGGCUAGGGUACGGAAGAGGGAAGCGGAAUUUCUGGUGUAGCGGUGAAAUGCGUAGAUAUCAGAAGGAACAUCAGUGGCGAAAGCGGCUUCCUGGUCCAGUACCGACGUUCAGGCACGAAAGCGUGGGGAGCAAACAGGAUUAGAUACCCUGGUAGUCCACGCCUUAAACGAUGAGAACUAGACGUUGAGAGGGUUAGCCUCCCAGUGUCGCAGCUAACGCGCUAAGUUCUCCGCCUGGGGAGUACGGCCGCAAGGUUGAAACUCAAAG
rnacentral:rRNA from 1 species